GGUGCGUUCUAAACAAGACGUUCUAAUCACACCGGUGUGACCGUAUGCAUCAAAUGGUUAAAUUCGAUUAUCAUCCAGUUUCUCGAAAAACUAACCGAAGAGUAAGUCUAGACUUAUUUUGUGCUGAUGGUCUGCAUGUUUGUGUUUUAGUAUUCAUGUUUGUGCUAAAUUAUAUUACCUUCUGCAGGCAAUGGAAGCAGCUAAGAGUUGGCACUACGGACCCUGAGAUGAAGACACUGCUUGCAGGGAUGAUUUUGGAGAAUGUACAGUUUGUGUCUGAGACCAUCCAGGAAGUCAUGCCUGCAGUUUUCCAUUUCAUUAGAAUACACGGUCCUGUGCCUCCAGUGUCCAUCAAGAGGAGUAGCAGCAAUGUCAAAGUUUGCCAGUCAGGCCAAAACAAGUCACUUUCAACCCCCUCAUCAAGCUCAUCUAAUGGGUCUCAGACUGUGUUACCAAGGACUCAAGGAGACAGUGGAUUUAAAUCACCUGAACCACUUUAUGGAAUCACUGAGGACAGCCUCCUCAGUGGUGUUAGGAGUUCCUUUAGAGAGUUGUCCAAAAUGUCUAUACAAGACCAAGUCCUCUUUGACACCUCUGUAAACAUUGUCAACCAGGUUCUAGCUUGGUCUAUUUCUAAGGUGAUGAAGGACGACUUUUCUGUUGGAGGGGUUAAUUCCACCAACGUGAGGAACAGUGAGACAAUGCAGAGUCGGGACAGUAAUGUUGGCUCAGGAACACACCAGGCUUCAUCUACAAAGGCCUCCCGCUCCAUCAGCUCUGCCAAAUCCAGAGCUUCCCAGAGUGAUUUUUUUAGGAAUGUUUUACCAAGCACUCCAAUCCGAAAUAAGUGGCCAGUUGAAAGUGAUUUCUCUCUCAUUAGGAGUUCGGCCAUUCAUAUGGGUAAGUCCUCAACUAAUUCCAAAGUGUCACCGAACGAGUAAAAGCAAACCAUCGCUGCCUCAGUAGAUUCUGUUAUGGAGGCCAAUAAAAGAGGAGAAAAAGAUCAAUAGGACACUGAAACACUCCGUUCCAGUCUUCACAACUUUUCACGGGAGUUCAUGAGUCUCACAACAGACCCGAAGAUCUUUUUGCACCUACUGGAAAGGCUGCAUCAGACUCAACACUUUUGAAACUGAAGACCAGAUUUGAGACUUGUGAACAAUCUUGGGAGAUUGAGCUGGUGAACUCCUUUACUAAGGAGUCAGUAAGACGUCUACUACAGGAUCUGAUCUCCGGGCGUCCUCCACCGUCUGAAGUACCAGAUAGAUCCAGUAGUUCCUCACAGGUUUAUCCAGACACCGAGAAGCAGUUUGCCAAUACAGAGGUCAAUCAGUUGAAGAGUCAGAAUCUGGACAGUAAUGUUAGCUCGGGAACACACCGGGCAUCAUCUACAAAGUUCUCCCGCUCCAUCAGCUCUGCCAAAUCCAGAGCUUCCCAGAGUGAUAGUUUUAGGAAUGUUUUACCAGGCACUCCGAUCCCAAAUGAGUGGCCAGUUGAAAGUGAUUUUCCUCUCUUUAGGAGUUCGGCCAUUGAUAUGGGUAAGUCCUCAACUAAUUCCAAAGUGUCACCAAACAAGUCAAAGCAAGAGUCAGAUGCCACAGGGAAGUUAUCCAGAACCUAUGUUGGACCUGAACACUGGUUCUUGGACUGCUGUCAAAGAUGAGCGCAGAUAUGUCAAUGGAUUCCUCUGUCAUUGAUGACAUAUCCAAAGUUCUCACCAAGAGGAUACUGUCCGAUUUCUGUAGCAUCUCAGGCAUUCAACAAAGUCAAGCCUACCCCCAGAAAUUGAAAAUCAAAAUGAUUUUCAUGAGCGUCUACAAACACCUUCAUCAGGAAUUUGGAUCAAAAAAGAUUCCCCAGGUGGCAAUGAAGUCACAGAAUACUGCAUUUCACAAUGCCUUGGUUAAAUCGCUAACCAGGGAACUAUUGAACAUAUGCAAUGAGACCAGCUCUUCGUCCUUCUCAAUUACCACAUUGUCCUCAGACAGUGACAAGGCCAGGCCAGCUGGGCUUCCAAAGGCUGGUGAAAAGGAAAAGGGGGGAAUCGCUCAUCAGUUUUGACUACUUCUAAAGCAUUCAAAGAAGGUCAACAUGAAAAAGGACCAUGCAUCAAAACCUUCCCAGAACCAGACCCCUGGUGUCCAUAGACUAGGGAGUGUCUACGAUCAAAAUACUGGCAAAACCGAGAAUCGAACCUCCGGCAAGAAGAAAGCAAGGAAGCAAUCAUUAUUUUCAAGGGCAUUUUCAGAUACAAGAAAUGCCCUGUCCAGUCUCUUUACCUCCAGCUUCAACAAUAGGUCUGAUUAAUCUGUAUU